rnacentral:rRNA from 1 species
CAGUCGCCGCGGGAAUACGAAGGGGGCUAGCGUUGUUCGGAUUUACUGGGCGUAAAGCGCACGUAGGCGGAUCCUUAAGUCAGAGGUGAAAUCCCAAGGCUCAACCUUGGAACUGCCUUUGAUACUGGGGAUCUCGAGUUCGGGAGAGGUGAGUGGAACUGCGAGUGUAGAGGUGAAAUUCGUAGAUAUUCGCAAGAACACCAGUGGCGAAGGCGGCUCACCGGCCCGAUACUGACGCUGAGGUGCGAAAGCGUGGGGAGCAAACAGGAUUAGAUACCCGCGUAGUCCCUGUCUCUUAUAC